rnacentral:misc_RNA from 1 species
GAUGAAGAACGUAGCGAAAUGCGAUAAGUAAUGUGAAUUGCAGAAUUCAGUGAAUCAUCGAAUCUUUGAACGCACAUUGCGCCCGCCAGCAUUCUGGCGGGCAUGCCUGUUCGAGCGUCAUUUCAACCCUCGAGCCCCCCCGGGGGCCUCGGUGUUGGGGGACGGCACACCAGCCGCCCCCGAAAUGCAGUGGCGACCCCGCCGCAGCCUCCCCUGCGUAGUAGCACACACCUCGCACCGGAGCGCGGAGGCGGUCACGCCGUAAAACGCCCAACUUUCUUAGAGUUGACCUCGGAUCAGGUAGGAAUACCCGCUGAACUUAAGCAUAUCAAAUAAGCGGAGGA